rnacentral:rRNA from 1 species
AGCGAACGCUGGCGGCAGGCCUAACACAUGCAAGUCGAACGAACCCUUCGGGGUUAGUGGCGGACGGGUGAGUAACACGUGGGAACGUGCCGUUAGGUCGGGAAUAACUCAGGGAAACUCGUGCUAAUACCGAAUGGGCCCUUCGGGGGGAAGAUUUAUCGCCUUUAGAGCGGCCCGCGUCUGAUUAGCUAGUUGGUGAGGUAAUGGCUAACCAAGGCUACGAUCAGUAGCUGGUCUGAGAGGAUGACCCGCCACAUUGGGACUGAGACACGGCCCAAACUCCUACGGGAGGCAGCAGUGGGGAAUCUUGCGCAAUGGGCGAAAGCCUGACGCAGCCAUGCCGCGUGGAUGAUGAAGGUCUUAGGAUUGUAAAAUCCUUUCACCGGUGAAGAUAAUGACUGUAGCCGGAGAAGAAGCCCCGGCUAACUUCGUGCCAGCCGCCGCGGUAAAAC